rnacentral:tRNA from 1 species
AAUAAAAUGCCUGAUUAAAAGGGUUAUCUUGAUAGGAUAAAUUAUGUAAAAUUAAAUUACUUUUAUUA